rnacentral:rRNA from 1 species
CUAAGGAGACUGCCGGUGACAAACCGGAGGAAGGUGGGGAUGACGUCAAGUCAUCAUGGCCCUUACGGCCUGGGCUACACACGUGCUACAAUGGUCGGUACAAAGGGUUGCCAAGCCGCGAGGUGGAGCUAAUCCCAUAAAACCGAUCGUAGUCCGGAUCGCAGUCUGCAACUCGACUGCGUGAAGUCGGAAUCGCUAGUAAUCGUGAAUCAGAAUGUCACGGUGAAUACGUUCCCGGGCCUU